rnacentral:rRNA from 2 species
UGGGGAAUUUUGGACAAUGGGGGCAACCCUGAUCCAGCAAUGCCGCGUGUGUGAAGAAGGCCUUCGGGUUGUAAAGCACUUUUGUCCGGAAAGAAAACUUCGGGGCUAAUACCCCUGGAGGAUGACGGUACCGGAAGAAUAAGCACCGGCUAACUACGUGCCAGCAGCCGCGGUAAUACGUAGGGUGCGAGCGUUAAUCGGAAUUACUGGGCGUAAAGCGUGCGCAGGCGGUGCUGUAAGACCGAUGUGAAAUCCCCGGGCUUAACCUGGGAACUGCAUUGGUGACUGCAGCGCUGGAGUAUGGGAGAGGGGGGUGGAAUUCCACGUGUAGCAGUGAAAUGCGUAGAGAUGUGGAGGAACACCGAUGGCGAAGGCAGCCCCCUGGGCCAAUACUGACGCUCAUGCACGAAAGCGUGGGGAGCAAACAGG